rnacentral:rRNA from 1 species
AAUGAACGCUGGCGGCAGGCUUAACACAUGCAAGUCGGACGGAAACGAUAGAGAGCUUGCUCUCUAGGCGUCGAGUGGCGGACGGGUGAGUAAUGUAUGGGAAUCUGCCCUCUAGUUGGGGACAACAUAUGGAAACGUAUGCUAAUACCGAAUGUGAUCUACGGAUUAAAGGUGCCCUCUCCUUGGAAGGUAUCGCUAGAGGAUGAGCCCAUAUUAGAUUAGCUAGUUGGUAGGGUAAAGGCCUACCAAGGCGACGAUCUAUAGCUGGUUUGAGAGGAUGAUCAGCCACACUGGGACUGAGACACGGCCCAGACUCCUACGGGAGGCAGCAGUGGGGAAUAUUGCACAAUGGAGGAAACUCUGAUGCAGCCAUGCCGCGUGUGUGAAGAAGGCUCGAGGGUUGUAAAGCACUUUCAAUUGUGAGGAAAGCUAAGUAGUUAAUACCUGCUUAGUGUGACGUUAACUUUAGAAGAAGCACCGG